rnacentral:misc_RNA from 1 species
CAGCUAGUUUAGUAAGCUCAUCCUGGAUCAUAAUCUUUAUAGACGAUUUUCUGGGCAUGAGAUCGGUAUCAAACCGCUUGGCAAGUUGCUUCAGAAUGUCAGUAAAGGUAGCCGUAUUGAAGUCAACUUCUUUCAGAAUUUCACAAAUCGCAUUUCUAAGUUCAUCAUCACUUGGUCUCAGUUUAUCCUCCUUGCUCUUGUCCUUUCCCUUUACAAUCUUUUUCCCAGUAUUUUCUCUGGGAGUAGACUUCUUUGGCGUUGAAGAUUUUUCUUUAACUACUUCAGUUUUCUUCUUCUUUGAAGAUGCUUUGGGAGUUGCAUCAUCGUUAGCAAUAUGCUUUGAGCUCUUUGAUGAUUUUGAAGGGGUCUUUUUGGGAGGACUUGGUACUUUAGAGACUGCAGGUUUCUUGGUCUUAGCUUUCACAGCAGGUUCUUUCUUUGUUGAAGAUUUACUUGAACUCUGCUUAUGCUUUUUCUUGUCCUCCUUAGGCUCCGGCUCUGGCUCAGGCUCAGGCUCAGGCUCUUGCUCAGGCUCAGGCUCAGGCUCAG